rnacentral:rRNA from 1 species
CCCUGGCUCAGGAUGAACGCUGGCGGCGUGCCUAAUACAUGCAAGUCGAGCGAAUGGAUUAAGAGCUUGCUCUUAUGAAGUUAGCGGCGGACGGGUGAGUAACACGUGGGUAACCUACCCAUAAGACUGGGAUAACUCCGGGAAACCGGGGCUAAUACCGGAUAAUAUUUUGAACUGCAUAGUUCGAAAUUGAAAGGCGGCUUCGGCUGUCACUUAUGGAUGGACCCGCGUCGCAUUAGCUAGUUGGUGAGGUAACGGCUCACCAAGGCAACGAUGCGUAGCCGACCUGAGAGGGUGAUCGGCCACACUGGGACUGAGACACGGCCCAGACUCCUACGGGAGGCAGCAGUAGGGAAUCUUCCGCAAUGGACGAAAGUCUGACGGAGCAACGCCGCGUGAGUGAUGAAGGCUUUCGGGUCGUAAAACUCUGUUGUUAGGGAAGAACAAGUGCUAGUUGAAUAAGCUGGCACCUUGACGGUACCUAACCAGAAAG